GCGCCCGUGGCGGAAUCGGUAGACGCAGCGGACUUAAAAUCCGCCGCCUUCGGCAUCCCGGUUCGACUCCGGGCGGGCGCACCA
rnacentral:tRNA from 2 species